rnacentral:rRNA from 1 species
AUCGAACGCUGGCGGCAGGCCUAACACAUGCAAGUCGAACGAGCGUCGCACAGGUGAGUAUUAUCUGUGAACCUGCUUGCUUGAGGGGGGUAACUACUGUAAACGGUGUCUAAUACCGCCUACCAUCGGAUGUGCACCUAUGGCAUGAGCUAGUAGGUGGGGUAACGGCUCACCUAGGCGACGAUCCCUCGCUGGUCUGCGAGGAUGACCAGCAAAAAGGGAACGGGGACAGGGCCCAGACUCCAACGGGGGGCAGAAGGGGGGAAUAUUGGACAAUGGGGGAAGGCCGGAGGCGGCCAUGCGGGGUAGAUGAAGAGGGCCUUCGGGUGGUAAAGUACUUUAAGCGGGGAGGCGGUACCCGCAGAAGAAGCACCGGCUAACUACGUGCCAGCAGCCGCGGUAAUUC